rnacentral:rRNA from 1 species
CCGUAAACUAUGGAUACUAGCUGUUGGAGGUAUCGACCCCUUCAGUAGCGAAGCUAACGCGUUAAGUAUCCCGCCUGUGGAAUACGGUCGCAAGACUAAAACAUAAAGGAAUUGACGGGGACCCGCACAAGCGGUGGAGCGUGUUCUUUAAUUCGACGAUAAACGAAGAACCUUACCAGGUUUUGACAUCCUUGGAAUUUCUGUGAAAGCAGAAAGUGCUUUAUUGAGCCAAGUGACAGGUGAUGCAUGGCCGUCGUCAGCUCGUGUCGUGAGAUGUUAGGUUAAGUCCUUCAACGAGCGCAACCCUUGUGAAUAGUUGUAUUUUUCUAUUCAGACUGCCCCGGUAACGGGGAGGAAGGAGGGGAUGAUGUCAGGUCAGUAUUUCCCUUAUAACCUGGGCUAGAAACGCGCUACAAUGGCUGGUACAAUGCGCAGCGAAAUCGCGAGAUGGAGCAAAUCGCAUCAAAACCAGUCCCAGUUCGGAUUGUAGGCUGAAACUCGCCUGCAUGAAGUUGGAAUCGCUAGUAAUCGCAGAUCAGCAUGCUGCGGUGAAUACGUUCCCGGGUCUUGUACACACCGCCCGUCAAACCAUGAAAGUCACCAACACCCGAAGUCCGAUUUGUCGGCCUAAGGUGGGGGGGAUGAUUGGGGUUAAGUCGUAACAAGGUAUCCGUACCGGAAGGUGCGGAUGGAUUACCUCCUUUCUAGGGAGUAA